UACCAAGCUUGAGAGAGGAGGCACAACUGAUGAAGUGAACAGUGAAUCCCCCAGGUACUUGCAGUUAUCAUGAUCCACUUUCAUAGAGCUUGGAAUCAUAAAACUUUCACAAGGACUGGAAGAAGCUAAUGGGGAAGGAAAGGAUUUACUCGUUAACGAACUGCUGCUACUGGGUUGGCUUCUUUUCUUCGAACCAGUCCACCGCAAUUUGGUG
rnacentral:misc_RNA from 1 species